CACAAUCGUGCGUUUUGUUUUGUUGUUUUUUAUAGAGCAACAAAAUGGGGUUUUGGCACAGUUGCAUUUGUGCUGAACAUUAGAUGAAAAUCAGAAAAUAUGUGAUGGAACCCCUUUCAACCUGUCACUGGAGAACAUUUCUGUAGAAGCUGCGCUGCAAAGACUUUUAUUAAACGGCCGUUCAACUGCAAUGGUGAAGGAUUGUGGUUUGGACUAAAAUAAAUCACCACUGAGACAGACGCGUCGGUGAAUCGUUUUAAAUAAAACGCCUGUGGGUGGCAGGAAGACGACAGGGUUAUUAUAAACCGUGUGAGCGCUUGUCAGCAUGUCAGUGUAUGAAAGAGGAGACCUGUGACAGGCCUUAAAGACAAUGAUAAAAAUAAAGAAUGGCAAUUUGCUGCUUUGCUGCUUUCGGGUGCAAGCCUUGCAAUUUCUAACGGCGGCGGGCCACGCAGAUCGUCCCACGGAUCUCUGUGGAAUUAUGCAAAUGUUCCAUUUGAUGCAGCUGUGGAUGCACCAGGAGCAAACCUCUCUCCAAAACGACCAAAAGGGGAAGCAGGAAGCCAGCAGGCCGCGCAGGCAGCAAGUACAACACACUGGUCUUCUCACAUCAGUCAGAGCGCUCAGUUUGGUGGAAGAGUUAAAUCAAGAUCGUCUCUAAUGUAAGUGAUGGAGUAAGACUUCCUUUACAAGAGAGAAAAAUGUAUUUUUUCCUGCUAACAGCCUAUUUAUUUUAUGUUAUGCAUUAAAUAUCAAAGUGUUGUAUAGGCCUUUUUUUAAAAAAAAAAAAGGGGGGAAAAAAAGCAAAGAUCCAAAGAAAAUUUAGGGAUUUAAAAAAAAAAGAAGAUAAACUUUUAUUUUCUCGUGUUUACUUUUAAAUUCAUCAUUUCAGGAGUUUCUCUGAGAGGUCGAUCUCAGAGGGUUUUUCCGGGUGAAGGUUUUUUAAAUGCUAUUUUAUAAAGUCUUCUUCUGAAUUGUGACAUUAAUGUAAAAUGUCUUUUAGCGUUUUUCCUGUUAUUUUGUGCUCCGAUUUUUAAUUCGAUUUGAAAAACCAGAAACUGAAAGAUGUGCCUGCCCCGCCCUGCUGCCGGCAUCCAUGACAUCCGAUUAUUCAACAUCACUGACAUUUACAACUAGUAAACUUAUCAGAACGUAUUGUUUGACUCCGCUGGUGCCCAACUGAUCCUUUUAUCAUGGAUUCUUUCAUCUCUGGCCUCCUGUUCUGCUGUCGUGUCCAUGCUGAGGAGCAAUAAUGAAGCGUCUGAGAUGUAGCUUCAAAACACAGAGAAUUCAAACGUAAUCAUUGCAUGGAUGACUCCUGAUCAAUCCGUCUCUUC
rnacentral:lncRNA from 1 species